GACGAACCGUGCGAACGUUAUUCGGAUUCACUGGGCUUAAAGGGCGCGUAGGCGGUGGACCCAGUCCGGGGUGAAAUCUUUCGGCUCAACCGGAAAAGUGCCUCGGAUACUGGUUCACUCGAGGGAGGUAGGGGCCCGCGGAACUUCCGGUGGAGCGGUGAAAUGCGUUGAUAUCGGAAGGAACGCCGGUGGCGAAAGCGGCGGGCUGGCCCUCUUCUGACGCUGAGGCGCGAAAGCCAGGGGAGCGAACGGG
rnacentral:rRNA from 1 species